AUGAUGGCCGCGCCCAUGGCUCCUCCACCGCACGGCUACACCUACGGCUACGCCCCCGGCUUCAAUCCCGGCGGAUACGGACCCGCACCCAGUGGCUACGCCCCCGGCUUCACCCACGGCGCGUCGACAUCCACCACGCCCUGGGACAUGGGCGCUCUUCAGAGUGCACUGCAGCACUCCGCCCAGUCGCCGCCGUCCGCCGGGAGCUCGUCGGACUGGGUCCUCGACACUGGGGCCUCCGCACACAUGACCUCCAACGCUGGUAACUUGCACUCUGUCCGCCCAGUUUCCACCUCUGCUCGUAUCUUCGUCGGCAACGGUGAUCAUCUCCCGAUCACCGGUGUUGGUGAGGGUGCACUCAUCGUUACCAAUUCCUCUCUGCAACUUCGCAAUGUUCUUCUCUCUCCCUCUCUUAUUCGCAAUCUUUUAUCUGUCCGUCAGUUAACUCGUGAGAACCCUGUUUCAGUAGAAUUUGACAGUUUUGGUUUCUCUGUCAAGGACAUCCGCACUCGAGCGGUGAUUCUGCGAUGUGAUUCCGACGGCGAUCUUUAUCAUGUGGCGUCCAGUUCCUCGGCUCCAUCCGCUCGACACUUCGCCGGCGUUGUCACCGUGGACCUGUGGCACCAACGGCUUAGUCACUCCGGCCAGUUAUCUACCAGUAGUUCGUCUGCUUUGUUUCCUUUUACAUGUAGCAAGUCAGCACCGCACACAUGCCAUGCCUGCCGCAUUGGCAAACAUGUACGCUUGCCAUUUGCUCCAUCACAGUCCUGUACUUAUUUUCCCUUUCAACUGUUGCAUUUGGAUGUAUGGACAUCUCCA
rnacentral:rRNA from 1 species